GACGAACGCUGGCGGCGUGCCUAAUACAUGCAAGUUGAGCGAUGAAGAUUGGUGCUUGCACCAAUUUGAAGAGCAGCGAACGGGUGAGUAACGCGUGGGGAAUCUGCCUUUGAGCGGGGGACAACAUUUGGAAACGAAUGCUAAUACCGCAUAACAACUUUAAACAUAAGUUUUAAGUUUGAAAGAUGCAAUUGCAUCACUCAAAGAUGAUCCCGCGUUGUAUUAGCUAGUUGGUGAGGUAAAGGCUCACCAAGGCGAUGAUACAUAGCCGACCUGAGAGGGUGAUCGGCCACAUUGGGACUGAGACACGGCCCAA
rnacentral:rRNA from 1 species